GCUUGCUUCAGCAGAACAUAUUCUAAAAUUGGAACGAUACGGAGACGAUUAGUGUGCCCCCUGUGCAAGGAUGACAUGAAAAUUUGUGAGGUGUUCCGUAUUUUU